UACAGAGGUGGCAAGCGUUGUUCGGAAUUACUGGGCGUAAAGGGUGCGUAGGCGGCUUUCUAAGUUGGAUGUGAAAACUAUGGGCUCAACCCAUAGCCUGCAUCCAAAACUGGAGAGCUUGGGUUCUGGAGGGGAAAGCGGAAUUCCUGGUGUAGCGGUGGAAUGCGCAGAUAUCAGGAGGAACACCGGUGGCGAAGGCGGGUCGCGGGGCAGUAACUGACGCUGAGGAGCGAAAGCGUGGGGAGCAAACAGG
rnacentral:rRNA from 1 species